AUUGAACGCUGGCGGCAGGCCUAACACAUGCAAGUCGAACGGUAACAGGAAGCAGCUUGCUGCUUCGCUGACGAGUGGCGGACGGGUGAGUAAUGUCUGGGAAGCUGCCUGAUGGAGGGGGAGAACUACUGGAAACGGUAGCUAAUACAGCAUAAUGUCGCAAGACGAAAGAGGGGGACCUUCGGGCCCCUUGCCAUCGGGUGUGCCCAGAUGGGAUUAGCUUGUUGGGGGGGUAACGGCUCACCAAGGCGACGAUCCCUAGCUGGUCUGAGAGGAUGACCAGCCACACUGGAACUGAGACACGGUCCAGACUCCUACGGGAGGCAGCAGUGGGGAAUAUUGCACAAUGGGCGCAAGCCUGAUGCAGCCAUGCCGCGUGUAUGAAGAAGGCCUUCGGGUUGUAAAGUACUUUCAGCGGGGAGGAAGGGAGUAAAGUUAAUACCUUUGCUCAUUGACGUUACCCGCAGAAGAAGCACCGGCUAACUCCGUG
rnacentral:rRNA from 1 species